rnacentral:lncRNA from 1 species
AAAAAAAAAAAAGACAAACAAAAAACCUUCUUGACUCCAGACAGGAUUCGGAUCAUGUACAGAGAAACAGCAACCAGAAUGCAACUUUCUCAGUUUCUUGAAACUUCUUUCUUGACCGUUAAAGGAAAUAUAUUAUGCUAAGGAGAAAUAGAUGAGUCUUGCAUGUAAUCCUUGCAGAGUCACAAUGGAAGGAGUCUAGUGGCUCCAUGGUCACAUGUGAAUCCCGUGUACCCUACGAGGACAAGAUUAUGGUUGCCAAAUAUGUCCCCACAGUAGAGGUUAUCUCCUGUGUCCAGCACUCUGGAGCCUGUCCUGUGUCUACCUAUCAUCUUCAUUCUGUAUUGUAUUGCGGGGCACUGUCUGUGGCCUGUGCUGGCUGCUGCCGACUCAGGAAUCCCCUGCUGUCCCUCCAACUGCCACUCUGGACUCUGUCCUCACAGGUCACGCCAUCACCCCACCGCUUGACCUUAGCAAGCACAUGUGCUGGAAGGUCUACCAGUGGAUGCUUCUUGGUUUUUGAAGUUGUCCCCAUAUCUGUUUGCUUCACUGCUGACCUUACCUAGUACAACUGAGUCAGGGUUAGAAAUACCAGAUCCAUCGGGCAGUGAUGGCAGCGCACGGUUUUAGUCCCAGCACUCGGAAGGCAGAGGCAAGUGGAUCUCUUGAGUUCCAGGACAGCCAGGGCCACACAGAGAAACCCUGUCUUGAACCACUACCACCACCACCACCACCCUAAAAGAGAAAUAGCAGAUGCAGGACUGAGAACUGUAAUCAGGCUGAGCGUUUGAAAGUUAGUUUGUGUCAACUCGUAACAGUCCUGCACCUCAGCGCUUGCCCAGGGCGUGUGUGCAGGAGCUGAGCCAUCUGCACCUCUUAAAUGAAAGUACGGUUUCAACACAGGAGUCUGGUAUUCCUCUCUCCACUCCACACCACCUUCCCGCACAGGAUCUGGGAAGCUAGCACCUAAAUACCAGGCUUCUUUGGACUAUUAACAUCUUAAAUGUGAAGGGCACCAUCUAGUUCUUAAAAGCCAUUCUCAAGGUCUUGCGUCCUAGGACCACAGUAAGGAGCAAGUUCUGUACCCUCUUCUGUCUUCCAGGGGUCCCAGAGCCUCACCUAAAUAAUGUGUAGACAUCUUCCAUGUUCGUGUAACAGCCCAAAGUGAUACUUCUGAACCCUGAGCAAUCUACUCAAGAAAUUGAAUGGAAACUCAGACCACCUUAAGCUCUAAUGAGUGUGCUCUGACCACCAGGUGUGCGGAGAUUUUAGUGGGGCUUGACUCUCCCCUUGGCCCCUAGGUGAGUGUCAGCUCACACUUGGGGGCUCAGGCCUUGGUUCCAGGCUCUUGACUUGUGGGACCUAUCUGAGAAAGCCCUCAUCCUGUGAUACAGCCCUGUUUUGUAGAAGCUGACAAGGAAGGACUUCUUAGACUCUAGGCUAACCCAGGGGUCUGUGGGGCUAACAGGCUGCAUGAUGUUUUCUAAAGACCUGAUGUAAGGACUGACUGAAUAAAGUGCCACUGAUGACUUGUCUGCUGUACAA